GGGAUUUCCAUGCCCACCUUUACAAUGCCCAGUUUUAGCAAGAAUCCUGCCUCAAAAACAAAGUUACACUGGGA